CUUGAACUCCUAGUCUCAAGUGAUCCACCAGCCUCCCAAAGUGCUGGGAUUACAGAUGUAAGCCACCACGCUCAACCACAACCCUUAAUAAAUGUUUACUGACCUUGCUGAAAAGGGAUCAUAUAACAAAAAACAUUACAGUGUUAAUUAGUUCUCAGGAAGAGAAAAAAAAUCCAUACAAAUUUUUAUAAAAAGCUUCAAAGAACAGAAUCAAUUGCUUUAUGGCCCCUCUUAGUUGCUGGUGUAAGCAGCCUAGAAAUUGAGGUUUCUCAAUGGGCCAAGAUACCUGGAGAGUUUGGGGACAGUGAAAACACACUGCAUACCAGGGGUUCCCCAUCACUCUAGGACUCACCUGCUGAAGUAGCAGGCACUUUCCCUGCUCCAUUGAUGCUGGCUCAUAGCUGAUCCUAUGGACUGCAUGUUGUACAAGAGGGGAAUUGGAAGUCUACUAGCCUGAGCCACAUAGCCAUCAUCACUCAGUGAUCUGGGUUCAAGGCAACUGAAAGAAACACAUAUUUGUAUUAUGAGUCCUGCAUAUAAGAAGUCUCAUUCUCUGGGAAUUUCCUUUCUCCUUCCGACUUCAUGCCCAGCAGAAGCAUUUCAGAAUACAGGGAGGGGGAAGAGGAGAGGGUCAGGGCUGGGCAUGAGAGCCACUCUCCCAUGACUGGAAGGAAACUUCCAUUCAUGGAUGGAUGAGAAAGGCUGUGCUAGAAGCCACACUGUAGAAGCAUACCGAGGCUUGAGUAAACAGACACCUGCUUAGCACAGUUUCUAUAUUAAUUUUUGCACAUACAUGAUUCCAAGAUUAUUUUUAUUAAACAUCUGAUAAGUAUAUUUCCUUUGGUAUAAAUCCAUCAGUCUUUUCUGGAACCACCAAAAGUUUUAGAUUCCUUACCCAAACCUCAAAAGUGUAAACCCUUGCUAGGUCAUGCCCCUGCCUAACCAGUUUCCCAGGGAAAAAGGCUUUAUGAUGAGAUUUCACUGUCCUUUUGUUAUAUUUUCUGUUUGGUAAUAUACUUUUGUUUUUGCCUUAACACAAAUUUAUUAUUUUUCAGCUCUGUAGGUUGUAAGUGCCAAAGGAGUCUCACUGGGCUGAACCCAAGGUGUCAGCAGUACUGCUUUUCUUUUUGGAGGCUCUAGGGGAAAACCUGUUUCCUUGAUGAUUCAGAUUGUUGGCUGAAUUUAGUCCUUAUGGGUGUAGGACCCUGUCUGCUUGCUGUGUUCCCAAUUUCUAGAGGCCACCUGUGUUCCUUGGCAUGUGCCUACCUUCCUCUGUCUUCAAAGCCAACAACAGCGGGUCACGUGGUUUUCGUGCCUCAAAUCUCUGUUGCUUGUUCUACCACUGUAUCUCUCUGACCUGCUUUUUGUCUUUCUCUUCUAACUUUAAGGACUAAGUUUAAGGUUACACUGGGCCCACCUAGGUAAUCCAGGAUAGUCUACCCAUCUCAAGGUCUUCAAAGUCUCCUUUGCAAUGUAAGGUAACAUAUUCACAGGUUCCAGACAUUACGGCAUGGAUAUCUGGGAGGUCAUUAUGCUGCCUACACGUGGUUGUCCUGAAGAGACAGGUAAUUUGUUGGAAAGGGUAAUGGGGGACCUUUUUGGAGUGAGGGGAAUGUUCUAUAUCUUGAUUAGGGUGGUGAUGUGUAUUCAACUGUUAAAUCUUUUAAAUUUUAGUUUAACAUCGACAUUAUUGCAUUCUCCAACUUUUAUAUUUUCCUUGUAAUUAUUUAUUUAGAAGCAACUUUCUGUGAGGCAUUGUAUUAAGCACUUUAUGUAAUAAUCUCAUGCAUUUUUUUUUCUCCUAGGACUCUGGUGUUAUUACAUAAUAAGUUUGCUUUAACCAAUUAAGUUCGAUGAUGCAGUAUACUGACUAGGGUUUUUCAGGCAUUUGCUAGUCCCUUAUGAGGUCAGGCAGCUUGCACUAUGGCACAUGAAGAAUAUUCAGAUACUUCAUAUCCUGCAGGAGAAGGGAGACAGUGUGACAAAUUCUGCUGCCACUAAUUGAAAGUAGUUUAUCACUUUAUCUUUAGAAGGUCUAAUGCCAAAACUUCAAGGAGAGAAUACACAGUCCAGUCUGGGUUUGAGCCUGGAGUUUGGAUGUCUAAGAUGACUCUGAGCGGAUGUGGAUUUACGUGUUAGUACCUGAAAGCGGGCACAGCCCCCACCUUGGAAUGAAUGUACACUUCCAAAGGACUCGUUUCCACAGGGUGGUGGAAGGAACAACAGAGACAGCUAUGUGCCCACACGCUCAGCCAUCUGCCAUUCCAACCACACGUCUCUCCCCCCGUUUCCUGCAAAUGAUUCAUCUAUUCUUUUUCCCCUUCUUCAAAGAUAACUCUGUAGGCAUUUAAGGAGGGGAAAGUCAUUAAGAAAAGUGGAAUCUGGAGUUAUUAGGAUGAGAUAGAGCAGACUAAACAGUCUGGAAUUUCACAAAGCAAACAGCACAGGGUGUGGACUCUGGGACCGUCCGUCUGUCAGGCUGGUGCAUCAUUUCACAGAUUAUCGUCCUUCAUGAACAGGUCAACAAAAAUGGCCACAUGUAAACAUAAGCAUAUGAGUUGCUAAAGAGAAAGAACACAGCAGAAGUCAGGAGGAUUCUGGAUUUUCCAAGUGGAGGCUCUGUGUAUCUUACCCAGCAUCCUAUGUAGCGUCUGUUCCUAAAAGUGAAGCCAAAGGUUUUACACCAAUGAAUGGGAUCUUUGUGACUUUUUCCAAUAAGCACACCAAAAAGUUGCCAUUAAAAUCAUGCUUUUAAAGGAGAUCCUGAACAACAGAGAAGAUGAUUAUGGCCAUGUCCUCAACACUAAGGGGUGCUGGUGGCAAUAUACUGUGUGGGAAAGGCAUGUGUAUGUCCAUGAGGAGGUGCUUGGUGGGUAUUUGUUGAAUUGCAUCAAACUGGAGCCAGAUGGCACUCAGUUCAAAUCCUGGCUCUGCUUCCAGCUUCUGGGAAGUUGCUAGGCAAGUUGCUAAACCUCUGGAGUUAGGCAAUAAAGACACUUCCUCACAGGGUAAAGUAAGGAUUAGAGGAUAAGAUACAUGAAGUACUUUGUGUGGUCUUUGGAAAGCGGUAGAUAGGCAAAUAUCAGGUGAAUACACAUAUUCCUUAUAAUUUCACUUCAGUUUCUACCACAUCCCACACCCUGAGGCUAGCAGGGUAAAGAGCUCUAAGGAGAAUGAAGAGGCCUCUGGCCCAUUCUAGUGUGGCCUCUCCCAUCAGGAGGGAAAAGGCAAAUAUUGCAUGGGACCUGGCAAUAGGAUUGAAUGGGACAUCAGUGAAGUGUGAUAGCAUCCUUACCAUCACCCCUUAACAACCACUAUAUCCCUUGUGGCAAGUGAAAGACCCCAGAAGUGAGGGAUCUUAUUGCUAAGUAGAGCCAACAAAUCCCAGAUCAGACAGAGUUCUUAAAGAUUCUAAUAUGUUGCCAGUAUUGUCUCAUCUGUAAAAUGGGUGUUAAAAUAGCAUUCACCUCUUGGGUUGUGAAGAUGAAAGAAGAUAAUCUAUGUAAAGGACUGAGCACAGGGCCUGGGACAGUUAGUGAUACAUACAUGUUGGCUACUGUUAUUAUUUUGUAUUCCAUGUUCGAUCUAUGGUAUUGAUUAACCUGCUUAUUGAUUGAUGGAUUUUCAUUUAGUAAAUGAAUUUUCAAUAAAUGAUUUUCACUUAA